UGGUUUACAUCUGAAAGCAGAUUCGGACAGAUCAGCACUUAAAAACUUGUUCGUGAAGGCGUAGAAGAUAGUUUUGCAGAAUUAAAACGUAAACGUAAACUGUAAUGUACGAAAACACCGAUUUACGUCUGAAUGCAGAUUCUGAAAGAACAGCACUUAGAACUUGUUCGUAAAAGCGCAGAGAGCAGUAGUUAUGAAGGAG
rnacentral:lncRNA from 1 species